rnacentral:rRNA from 1 species
UUUCGAAUCAUUCACAAUGGGCGAAAGCCUGAUGGUGCGACGCCGCGUGAGGGAUGGAGGUCUUCGGAUUGUAAACCUCUGUCACUGGGGAAGAAACGCUUCAUGUAAACAUCAUGAAGCCUGACUUAACCCGGAGAGGAAGCAGUGGCUAACUCUGUGCCAGCAGCCGCGGUAAUACAGAGACUGCAAGCGUUAUUCGGAUUCACUGGGCGUAAAGGGUGCGCAGGUGGCCAGGUGUGUGAGGCGUGAAAGCCCGGAGCUCAACUCCGGAAUUGCACCUCAAACUACAUGGCUAGAGCAUUGGAGAGGGGAGCAGAAUUCACGGUGUAGCAGUGAAAUGCGUAGAUAUCGUGAGGAAUACCAGAGGCGAAGGCGGCUCCCUGGACAAUUGCUGACACUCAGGCACGAAAGCGUGGGGAGCAAAAGGGAUUAGAUACCCCUGUAGUCCGCGCCCUAAACGGUGCACACUAGGUCUUGGCGGAUUCGACCCCCCCAGGGCCCAAGCUAACGCGUUAAGUGUGCCGCCUGAGGACUACGGCCGCAAGGCUA